rnacentral:rRNA from 1 species
UACGAAGGGGGCUAGCGUUGUUCGGAAUUACUGGGCGUAAAGCGCACGUAGGCGGCUUCUUAAGUCAGGGGUGAAAUCCUGGAGCUCAACUCCAGAACUGCCUUUGAUACUGAGGAGCUUGAGUCCGGGAGAGGUGAGUGGAACUGCGAGUGUAGAGGUGAAAUUCGUAGAUAUUCGCAAGAACACCAGUGGCGAAGGCGGCUCACUGGCCCGAUACUGACGCUGAGGCACGAAAGCGUGGGGAGCAAACAGG